rnacentral:rRNA from 1 species
UGCCAGCCGCCGCGGUAACACGUAGGGGGCGAGCGUUGUUCGGAAUUACUGGGCGUAAAGGGCAUGUAGGCGGUUUUGUAAGCCUGACGUGAAAGGCUAUGGCUCAACCAUGGCACUGCGUUGGGAACUGCGAGACUUGAAUCAUGGAGAGGGAGCUGGAAUUCCAGGUGUAGGGGUGAAAUCUGUAGAUAUCUGGAAGAACACCAGUGGCGAAGGCGAGCUCCUGGCCAAUGAUUGACGCUGAGGUGCGAAAGUGUGGGGAUCAAACAGGAUUAGAGACCCUGGUAGUCCACACUGUCAACGAUGUGCACUAGGUGCUGGGGCGGACGCUUCAGUGCCGGAGCUAACGCGGUAAGUGCACCGCCUGGGGAGUAUGCUCGCAAGGGUGAAACUCAAAUGAAUUGACGG